rnacentral:rRNA from 1 species
GGCAGCAGCUAAGAAUCUUCCGCAAUGGGCGAAAGCCUGACGGAGCGACGCCGCGUGGACGAAGAAUGCCGAGAGGUUGUAAAGUCCUUUUAUAUGUGAAGAAUAAUGUCUGUAGGUAAUGACAGGCAGAUGACGUUAGCAUAUGAAUAAGCUCCGGCCAAUUACGUGCCAGCAGCCGCGGUAACACGUAAGGAGCGAGCGUUGUUCGGAAUUAUUGGGCGUAAAGGGCAUGUAGGCGGUUAUAUAAGUCUGGUGUGAAAGACUACAGCUUAACUGUAGAGACGCACUGGAAACUGUAUGACUUGAAUCUGUGAGGGGUAAUUGGAAUUCCUAGUGUAGGGGUGAAAUCUGUUGAUAUUAGGAAGAACACCGAUGGCGAAGGCAAAUUACUGGCACAUGAUUGACGCUGAGAUGCGAAAGCGUAGGGAGCGAACAGGAUUAGAUACCCUGGUAGUCUACGCUGUAAACGAUGUGCACUUGGUGUCGGGGUUCUAAGCCUCGGUGCCGUAGCUAACGCGUUAAGUGCACCGCCUGGGGAGUAUGCCGGCAACGGUGAAACUCAAAUGAAUUGACGG